rnacentral:rRNA from 1 species
GUGUGGGGGAACAUUCCACGUUUUUCCGCGCCGUAGCUAACGCAUUAAGUGCCCCGCCUGGGGCAUACGGCCGCAAGGCUAAAACUCAAAGGAAUUGACGGGGGCCCGCACAAGCGGCGGAGCAUGCGGAUUAAUUCGAUGCAACGCGAAGAACCUUACCAAGGCUUGACAUACACCGGACCGGGCCAGAGAUGGUCUUUCCCCCUUGUGGGGCUGGUGUACAGGUGGUGCAUGGUUGUCGUCAGCUCGUGUCGUGAGAUGUUGGGUUAAGUCCCGCAACGAGCGCAACCCUCGUUCUAUGUUGCCAGCACGUGAUGGUGGGGACUCAUAGGAGACUGCCGGGGUCAACUCGGAGGAAGGUGGGGAUGACGUCAAAUCAUCAUGCCCCUUAUGUCUUGGGCUUCACGCAUGCUACAAUGGCCAGUACAAUGGGUUGCGAUGCCGUGAGGUGGAGCUAAUCCCAAAAAGCUGGUCUCAGUUCGGAUCGUGGUCUGCAACUCGACCACGUGAAGUCGGAGUCGCUAGUAAUCGCAGAUCAGCAACGCUGCGGUGAAUACGUUCCCGGGCCUUGUACACACCGCCCGUCAAGUCACGAAAGUUGGUAACACCCGAAGCCGGUGGCCUAACCCUUGUGGGGGGAGCCGUCGAAGGUGGGACUGGCGAUUGGGACUAAGUCGUAACAAGGUAACCGAUAA